rnacentral:rRNA from 1 species
GCCUACGGGAGGCAGCAGUGGGGAAUAUUGCACAAUGGGCGCAAGCCUGAUGCAGCAACGCCGCGUGAGGGACGACGGCCUUCGGGUUGUAAACCUCUUUUAGCAGGGAAGAAGCGAAAGUGACGGUACCUGCAGAAAAAGCACCGGCUAACUACGUGCCAGCAGCCGAGGUAAUACGUAGGGUGCAAGCGUUGUCCGGAAUUAUUGGGCGUAAAGAGCUCGUAGGCGGUUUGUCGCGUCUGCUGUGAAAACCCGAGGCGCAACCUCGGGGCUGCAGUGGGUACGGGCAGACUAGAGUGCGGUAGGGGAGAUUGGAAUUCCUGGUGUAGCGGUGGAAUGCGCAGAUAUCAGGAGGAACACCGAUGGCGAAGGCAGAUCUCUGGGCCGUAACUGACGCUGAGGAGCGAAAGCGUGGGGAGCGAACAGGAUUAGAUACCCCAGUAGUCUA